rnacentral:lncRNA from 1 species
AGAGUGGGGACAGAGUGAAGUGACCCCAGUCCCUGAGCUUCAGGUGGAGGACAGGCAAGUAUGUGACUAAUUGUGAGAUGCAAUGUGAGAACUGUGUCAGUAGUGUAGACACCAUUCUGCCAUGAAGAUCUCUACCACAGGAAAGGAAUUCUAGGAAGGCUUCACAGAGCAGGUGUCCCAAAAGAACUAAGCUUGAAGGAAAAGUGGGAAAAUCCCAUAUGGGAAAGGAAAUGGC